rnacentral:snRNA from 1 species
GGAUGUGAGGGCAGUCUAGCUGCUACAUCUGUCACCCCAUUGAUCACCAGGGUUGAUUCGCUGAUCUGGCUGGCUAGGCAGGUGUCCCCUUCCUCCCUCUCCGCUCCAUGUGCGUCCCUCCCAAAGCUGCACACUCGGUCGAAGAGGAUGGCCCUCCCUGAAUAGGGGACUGGUCUUCAGUCAAGGGUAUACCAGUAACUGGGCUCCCCUGCUAGAACCUUCAAACAAGCUUUCAAAUAUACCCUCACAUUCCCUAAGAUUUCAAUCUUAUUGGCCAAACUCUUAUAGGUUACUCCUAAGUCUUGACCUUUUAC